rnacentral:tRNA from 1 species
GCACCCGUGGUGAAACUGGCAUACACGCAAGGUUCAGGUCCUUGUGACCGCAAGGUCGUGGAGGUUCGAAUCCUCUCGGGUGCACCA